GCUGAGAAGUGAGCCAGUGAGAUGUGUAAGUGAAAAUACGUAACGAAAUGCAAGGUUUGGUAGUAUUUUAGUUCUUGGUUUUGUUGGUGGGUUUUAAUAUGUUCAUAAUGUACACAUAUCAUCUACUUUUUGUAAGACUCAAUUAUUAAAUUGAAGAAAGCCUUAAAAUCACUUACAACAGAUUGAACUAAGAUUUAUGAGAGAGGAAAACACAAAGUGCUAGGCUAGCAACUCUAAGAGGGGACCCAAAGGAAUCCUAAAUGUUUACUGGAAGAGUGAAGAGUGGGUACUUAGGCUAAUUCUCCACCAACGGGAGCACGGUUGUUUGCUGGAAAGAAGACAUGGGUUGUGGUGAUAUUCCAGGAAGAAGCAAUAACAUGCACUAAGAAGAGGGGGUGAAGGAAAGCAAAAACCGUUCUCGAAAUUGCUGCUAGUUUGUGUAUGGCUGGAGAACAUAAUGCAGGAGUCGAGAGAACUUAAGGGUAAAGAGGGAGCGAGCUCCAGAUCUUAAAGGGAGUCCUUUAUCAUGCUUUAACUUCUUAUCAAGAGAAAUUCAUUAAACAUAUGCAAACAAGGGAAUGGCAACCACAAAUUCACAGGUGAAGACGGCAAAGCUGUAACAUUAGAAUAAAUAAUCCAGAAAUAAAGCUCUUUCAACAUCAGUAUUAGAGGAAAGCAACAGGAUGAAUGUCUACUAGUCAAAGUGACAAGACUGAAAAAGUGAGAGCAUGUGAAAGGUUAAGCAUCCUGAUAAUGUAGAAUUCCUGUACCUCAGCUGAACAAGCUGUUGACCUUAGCUUAUUAUGAAAAACCUAGUGAGAAAGUAGAUUUUAGGUCAGUGGGUAGUGACCCAAUUAUUUAAGCACAGCAACCAUAAAACCAGUUAGGCUGUCAAUGCCUUUCAAACAGAAAGCUCAACACUUUGGUUAAAAAAAAAAAGAAAGAAAAGGUCUCCCCACAUGCCCUGGCACAUGAAAGAUAAAUGGAAAACGGGGCAGCAAAAAUGGACUCAAACCAUGCUUCAAUAGUUUGAAAGUACCUAUAAGGGUCUCACUCUUACGAACAAUUGAUUUGUGAACCAGGUUCACCAGCCGGAGUACUUGGUGAUGGUUACUCCUUAAAAAUAAAAAAGUUGUUCAACAAACCAAAUGCAAAUGUGGGCAUAUAGAACAUAGGCUUUCAUGCAGCAGAUAAUAUUCUAUCUGCAUAAAGUUACCUGUGAGAUCAACCUGGAGGUUCUUCAGAAAAAAGCUAACUUUUCAAAAUUGAUUGUGGAGUAUGCCUUUAAUGAGUAUCUUUUCUCUGAUUUCUUUUUGAUAUCUUCUCUUUUCUAAUCUAUGAUUCAAAACUGAUACAAAAUAUUGGAAUUGUCAAAUUUUAACUAUUUACCAACCAGAUUUCUCUCUAGUAAACAUGCGAUCUACUCCUAGGCGUCAUUCUCACAAUUUAUAUUAGGAUUUAAACAAACAACUCCAUGCCAAAGAAACAACUUAUUUGUUUAUUUAUUUAUUUUUGAGGCAGAGUUUCACUCUUGUUGCCCAGGCUGGAGUCCAAUGGUGCAACCUCGGCUCACUCCAACCUCUGCUUUCCGGGUUCAAGUGAUUCUCCUGCCUCCCAAGUAGCUGGGAUUACAGGUAUGGAACACCACACCCAGCUGAUUUUUUUUUUAUUUAGUACAGACGGGGUUUCAGGAUGUUGGGUCAGGCUGGUCUCGGACUCCUGACCUCAGGUGAUCCACCUGCCUCGGCCUCCCAAAGUGCUGGGAUUACAGUUGUGACCUACUGCGCCCGGUCCAGAAACAUCUUAUUAACAUUAGUCAGAAUAUUUGGGAUGUAUCGGGCAGGAAGACAGAAACCAUACUAGUUAUUUUAACAAACAGAAUACCCUAUAGCAAAUUGGUUACAUGGAUAUCGAAAGCAAAACCAGAACUUUGAAUGAGCACAGAGAUAGUCAUGAUAGCAAACCUUCUAGCACUGAGGUUAAUUAAAAGGGUAGAGUUUGGAGUUGUUAGAACUUAGAAGCUAAGGGGAAAGGCCUCAGGAAGCUGGGACUCAGAUCUCUGAGCAAAAGGACAGCACAGUUUGUGCUGUUUCCUCUGAGGAAGCUCUGGGAGGCUGGUUCUGGGAUUGGGAGAAGAAACUGGAAACUGGAACCAAUUUCUACUGGUGUCAACUGGUAGUGCUGGAUGAAAAGCACUGGGUAAAAUCAUUUUUUAUAGCAUCAGAAAAUAAGCCAGGAAGAACCAUCUCCUUCUGCACCCUACUGCUCUGCAGUCCCAGCUAGCACCCCUGCUGGCAGAAGCGAAGAAGGAGAGAGCCUAAAGAAAAGAAAUGGGCCGGGCGCUGUGGCUCACGCCUGUAAGCCCAGCAUUUUGGGAGGCCGAGGAGGGCAGAUCACGAGGUCAAGAGAUCAAGACCCUCCUGGCCAACAUGGUGAAACACUGUCUCUACUAAAACUACAAAAAUAGGCGUGGUGGCACAUACCUGUAGUCCCAGCUACUUGGGAGGCUGAGGCAGGAGAAUCGUUUGAACCUAGGAGGCAGAGGUUGCAGUGAGCCAAGAUCAUGCCCCUGCACUCCAGUCUGGGUGACAGGGUGAGACUCCAUCUCAAAAAAAAAAAAAAAGAAAAGAAAAGAAAAAGAAAUGUAGUUUACAGUAUCUCAGUCUCAGAGCCACAGAGUCAAGUAUAGAGGGAAAGAUUUACAGCUGAGAGACAGCAGCUUUACAACCAGAACAGGGGAAUGAAUGAAUCAAUUAUGAAGGCUUUCCUAUCAUUGGAGCUUGUAGUAUAAACAUCUGAUUGGAACAUCCCUAGGUAGCUGUCCUAUUUCUUCUCAUUGUUUACCUUUGGGGCUUACUUCCAUGUCUGAGUUAUGACAAGAAUAUUGAGUACAUAGGGCCUGAUGACACAAGGAGGUGAAAUUAUUAAAUUCUAAAGCCCCUGACAUUCGGUAAUUUGGAGCCUCUCACGUAAGGAAUGGUGGAUCUUUGUUCUUGGAGCUCCCAGGAUGGUGGCAGGCUGCUCCCAAGAUGGCGGCAAGCCUUUGGUCUCUGACCUGGGGUUCUUGGCCUCAUGGAUUCCAAGGAAUGGAACCGUCGGCCAUGCGGUGAGUGUUCUAGCUCUAUUUGAAGCCGCGGGUCAUGGAAGAGAGCCGUGGAACCCAGCAACUAGUGUUGAGCUCGAUUAGGACGAACCCAGGCACUUAGCCUAGCAGGAACAAUGGCGAGCCUCUAGCCCAUCAGGAGCAGCAGCGGGUGCCUCCCUGGAUCAGAAACACAGCAGACACCCUGGCGGAUUCAGAGGGAUGGAAGUCAGUGGCGGGUCUGUGACGGUGUCAUUCAGCAGUGGUCGACGGCGAGCGAAAGCUCAGCUCGAGCCGGAACAAACACGGACCGGAAGAGUGUGCAGUUGGAAGAUUUAACAGAGUGAAAACAGAGCUCCCAUACAAUGGGAGGGGAUCCAAAGGGGGUUGCCCACUCCCAGCUUGAAUGUCUGGGUUUUAUAUCCCUAUCAUUGUCCCUCCCCCUGUGCUCUCAGGUGAUAGAUGAUUUGACUAUUUCUUUACCUCCUGCUUUUAGCCUAAUUGGUAUUUUAGUGAGCCCUCUUUACUACCAGAUUGGUCAGGUGUGAGCUGAGUUACAAGCCCCAUGUUUAAAGGUGGUGUGGUCACCUUCCCCAGUUAGGCUUAGGAAUUCUUAGUCCACCUAGGAAAUCCAGUUAGUCCUGUCUCUCAUUAUGAUCUCCCCACCAUGUACCUUGUAACCCCCUCCUCUGCUAACAAUAGAUAACCACAUUUUACUGUAAUUUUCCUACCCAACUCUUACAAAGCAACCCCUUCCCCAUCUCCCUUCGCUGACUCUCUUUUCGUACUCAGCCCACUUGCACCCAAGUGAAUAAACA
rnacentral:lncRNA from 10 species